GACGAACGCUGGCGGCGUGCUUAACACAUGCAAGUCGAACGGAAAGGCCCUGCUUUUGUGGGGUGCUCGAGUGGCGAACGGGUGAGUAACACGUGAGUAACCUGCCCUUGACUUUGGGAUAACUUCAGGAAACUGGGGCUAAUACCGGAUAGGAGCUCCUGCUGCAUGGUGGGGGUUGGAAAGUUUCGGCGGUUGGGGAUGGACUCGCGGCUUAUCAGCUUGUUGGUGGGGUAGUGGCUUACCAAGGCUUUGACGGGUAGCCGGCCUGAGAGGGUGACCGGCCACAUUGGGACUGAGAUACGGCCCAGACUCCUACGGGAGGCAGCAGUGGGGAAUAUUGCACAAUGGGCGGAAGCCUGAUGCAGCAACGCCGCGUGCGGGAUGACGGCCUUCGGGUUGUAAACCGCUUUCGCCUGUGACGAAGCGUGAGUGACGGUAAUGGGUAAAGAAGCACCGGCUAACUACGUGCCAGCAGCCGCGGUGAUACGUAGGGUGCGAGCGUUGUCCGGAUUUAUUGGGCGUAAAGGGCUCGUAGGUGGUUGAUCGCGUCGGAAGUGUAAUCUUGGGGCUUAACCCUGAGCGUGCUUUCGAUACGGGUUGACUUGAGGAAGGUAGGGGAGAAUGGAAUUCCUGGUGGAGCGGUGGAAUGCGCAGAUAUCAGGAGGAACACCAGUGGCGAAGGCGGUUCUCUGGGCCUUUCCUGACGCUGAGGAGCGAAAGCGUGGGGAGCGAACAGGCUUAGAUACCCUGGUAGUCCACGCUGUAAACGGUGGGUACUAGGUGUGGGGUCCAUUCCACGGGUUCCGUGCCGUAGCUAACGCUUUAAGUACCCCGCCUGGGGAGUACGGCCGCAAGGCUAAAACUCAAAGGAAUUGACGGGGCCCCGCACAAGCGGCGGAGCAUGCGGAUUAAUUCGAUGCAACGCGUAGAACCUUACCUGGGUUUGACAUGGAUCGGGAGUGCUCAGAGAUGGGUGUGCCUCUUUUGGGGUCGGUUCACAGGUGGUGCAUGGCUGUCGUCAGCUCGUGUCGUGAGAUGUUGGGUUAAGUCCCGCAACGAGCGCAACCCUUGUACACUGUUGCCAGCACGUUAUGGUGGGGACUCAGUGGAGACCGCCGGGGUCAACUCGGAGGAAGGUGGGGAUGACGUCAAGUCAUCAUGCCCCUUAUGUCCAGGGCUUCACGCAUGCUACAAUGGCUGGUACAGAGAGUGGCGAGCCUGUGAGGGUGAGCGAAUCUCGGAAAGCCGGUCUCAGUUCGGAUUGGGGUCUGCAACUCGACCUCAUGAAGUCGGAGUCGCUAGUAAUCGCAGAUCAGCAACGCUGCGGUGAAUACGUUCCCGGG
rnacentral:rRNA from 1 species